UCUCUCAUGGCGUAGUGGUAACGCGCCCCAACUAGAGAUCGGGGAGUCGUGAGUUCGAUUCUCACUGAGAAGA
rfam:Aedes aegypti strain Liverpool supercont1.65 genomic scaffold, whole genome shotgun sequence.